GAUGAACGCUGGCGGCGUGCCUAAUACAUGCAAGUCGAGCGAACGGACGAGAAGCUUGCUUCUCUGAUGUUAGCGGCGGACGGGUGAGUAACACGUGGAUAACCUACCUAUAAGACUGGGAUAACUUCGGGAAACCGGAGCUAAUACCGGAUAAUAUUUUGAACCGCAUGGUUCAAAAGUAAAAGACGGUCUUGAUGUCACUUAUAGAUGGAUCCGCGCUGCAUUAGCUAGUUGGUAAGGUAACGGCUUACCAAGGCAACGAUGCAUAGCCGACCUGAGAGGGUGAUCGGCCACACUGGAACUGAGACACGGUCCAGACUCCUACGGGAGGCAGCAGUAGGGAAUCUUCCGCAAUGGGCGAAAGCCUGACGGAGCAACGCCGCGUGAGUGAUGAAGGUCUUCGGAUCGUAAAACUCUGUUAUUAGGGAAGAACAUAUGUGUAAGUAACUGUGCACAUCUUGACGGUACCUAAUCAGAAAGCCACGGCUAACUACGUG
rnacentral:rRNA from 1 species